rnacentral:lncRNA from 1 species
GCUCCUGGUUUACAUUUAGAAAUGCUGUUUAAUCAACAGCUUGCUUCUCUUUCUUGCCUUAAUUUUUCACUGCAAGCAAAAAUGAUAAAACAUAAAUUCAAACAAAUUUAAUAAGAUUUUAACAAAUAUUUUGCUACCUCUUCAAAGAUACGUUUUAAAAUUCAACAAGCAGACACUGUCUAACAAAUUGAACAAAGACCUUCAGUCAAAUCAGUUUAAAAUACACCAACUGUUAAUUUCCUUUAUAUUUACAAUGGUAGAAUCUUACUUUAUAUGCGGCUAGAGUUAGAUAAAAGUUCAAUUUCAGAAUUCCUUAAUGUCAGCUAAAUCACCCUCAAACUGAAACACCUCUAAACCUUAAAGCUGGAAAUCAGUUUGACUGAAGUCCUCUUUCAUGCCAUGUAAGCCAUUGCCUAAUUG